rnacentral:rRNA from 1 species
CCUACGGGAGGCAGCAGUGGGGAAUAUUGCACAAUGGGGGAAACCCUGAUGCAGCGACGCCGCGUGAAGGAAGAAGUAUUUCGGUAUGUAAACUUCUAUCAGCAGGGAAGAAAAUGACGGUACCUGACCAAGAAGCCCCGGCUAACUACGUGCCAGCAGCCGUGGCAAUACGUAGGGGGCAAGCGUUAUCCGGAUUUACUGGGUGUAAAGGGAGCGUAGGCGGUUUAGCAAGUCAGAAGUGAAAGCCCGGGGCUCAACUCCGGGACUGCUUUUGAAACUGUUGAACUAGAUUGCAGGAGAGGUAAGUGGAAUUCCUAGUGUAGCGGUGAAAUGCGUAGAUAUUAGGAGGAACACCAGUGGCGAAGGCGGCUUACUGGACUGUAAAUGACGCUGAGGCUCGAAAGCGUGGGGAGCAAACAGGAUUAGAUACCCCUGUAGUC